UACGUAGGGGGCGAGCGUUGUCCGGAUUCAUUGGGCGUAAAGCGCGCGCAGGCGGCCCGCUCAGUCGGCCGUGAAAGCGCCGGGCUCAACUCGGCGAGGUCGGGCGAUACUGGCGGGCUGGAGGCUGGUAGAGGGCGGUGGAAUUCCGGGUGUAGUGGUGGAAUGCGUAGAGCUCCGGAGGAACACCAGUGGCGAAGGCGGCCGCCUGGGCCACGCCUGACGCUGAGCCGCGAAAGCGUGGGGAGCGAGCCGG
rnacentral:rRNA from 1 species